rnacentral:rRNA from 1 species
UGGGGAAUAUUGCACAAUGGGGGAAACCCUGAUGCAGCGACGCCGCGUGAACGAAGAAGGUAUUCGUAUCGUAAAGUUCUGUCCUAUGGGAAGAUAAUGACAGUACCAUAGAAGAAAGCUCCGGCUAAAUACGUGCCAGCAGCCGCGGUAAUACGUAUGGAGCGAGCGUUGUCCGGAAUUAUUGGGCGUAAAGGGUACGCAGGCGGUUUAAUAAGUCGAAUGUUAAAGAUCGGGGCUCAACCCCGCAAAGCAUUGGAAACUGAUAAACUUGAGUAGUGGAGAGGAGAGUGGAAUUACUAGUGUAGUGGUGAAAUACGUAGAUAUUAGGAGGAAUACCAGUAGCGAAGGCGACUUUCUGGACACAAACUGACGCUGAGGUACGAAAGCGUGGGGAGCAAACAGG